AUGCACGCUGGCGGCGUGCCUCAUACAUGCAAGUCGCGCGAACGGACGAGAAGCUUGCUUUUCUGAUGUUAGCGGCGGACGGGUGAGUAACACGUGGAUAACCUACCUAUAAGACUGGGAUAACUUCGGGAAACCGGAGCUAAUACCGGAUAAUAUUUUGAACCGCAUGGUUCAAAAGUGAAAGACGGUCUUGCUGCCACUUAUAGAUGGAUCCGCGCUGCAUUAGCUAGUUGGUAAGGUAACGGCUUACCAAGGCAACGAUGCAUAGCCGACCUGAGAGGGUGAUCGGCCACACUGGAACUGAGACACGGUCCAGACUCCUACGGGAGGCAGCAGUAGGGAAUCUUCCGCAAUGGGCGAAAGCCUGACGGAGCAACGCCGCGUGAGUGAUGAAGGUCUUCGGAUCGUAAAACUCUGUUAUUAGGGAAGAACAUAUGUGUAAGUAACUGUGCACAUCUUGACGGUACCUAAUCAGAAAGCCACGGCUAACUACGUG
rnacentral:rRNA from 1 species